rnacentral:rRNA from 1 species
CCCUUAGAUGUUCUGGGCCGCACGCGCGCUACACUGAUGCAUUCAACGAGUUUCUUCCUGGUCCGAGAGGAAUGGGUAACCUUUUGAAAGUGCAUCGUGAUAGGGAUAGACUAUUGCAAUUAUUGGUCUUCAACGAGGAAUUCCUAGUAGACGUAGUUCAUCAGACUGCAUCGAUUACGUCCCUGCCCUUUGUACACACCGCCCGUCGCUACUACCGAUUGAAUGGCUUAGUGAGGCUUCCGGAUUGGUUUAGAGAAGGGGGCAACUCCAUCUUGGAACCGAGAAGCUAGUCAAACUUGGUCAUUUAGAGGAAGUAAAAGUCGUAACA